GACAGAGGUCUCGAGCGUUAGGCGGAAUCACUGGGCUUAAAGCGUGUGUAGGUGGAUGUCUAAGUACCUUGUGAAAUCCCACGGCUUAACCGUGGAAUUGCUUGGUAUACUGGAUGUCUUGAGCCACUUAGGGGCAACCGGAACAAAUGGUGGAGCGGUGAAAUGCGUAGAUAUCAAUUUGGAACACCAAUGGCGAAGGCAGCUCGCUGGGACGGUACUGACGCUGAGACGCGAAAGCGUGGGGAGCAAACAGG
rnacentral:rRNA from 1 species